GUAGGUGGCAAGCGUUGUCCGGAAUUAUUGGGCGUAAAGCGCGCGCAGGUGGUUCUUUAAGUCUGAUGUGAAAGCCCCCGGCUCAACCGGGGAGGGUCAUUGGAAACUGGGGAACUUGAGUGCAGGAGAGGAAAGUGGAAUUCCACGUGUAGCGGUGAAAUGCGUAGAUAUGUGGAGGAACACCAGUGGCGAAGGCGACUCUCUGGCCUGUAACUGACACUGAGGCGCGAAAGCGUGGGGAGCAAACAGGGAUUAGAUACCCUGGUAGUCCACGCCGUAAACGAUGAGUGCUAAGUGUUGGGGGGGUUUCCGCCCCCUCAGUGCUGCAGCUAACGCAUUAAGCACUCCGCCCUGGGAGUACGGUCGCAAGACUG
rnacentral:rRNA from 1 species